UUUGACCCCUCAAGUUCAAGGGGCGGAGUCAGAAAAACAACGGGGAAUGAGUUUUCGCGUGCAGAGAGAUCAGUUCAGAGAAAAAAAGAGUUGAUUUGAACACAGAUAAAGUUGAUCAGCGUGGAGAAAAGCUGAUAUUAUUCAACGCUCACGGACAUUCUGAGUGGCAGCUCGGUUGAGAAAGUUGGCCUUGCAUCAGUUUGCAGAUUGCAGCACGGGGGAAAAUACUUCAGGAGAAUUAGGCAAGAGGCCGCGCACUUCAGUCGUGAGUUGAAUCGAUGGAUGAGAACUAGCACGUGAGAUAAUCUUAUUUGAAAUCGUUAAAUAUAUUUGUUUUAUUAGAUUCAUAUUUACAAAUCACCCGGAAGAAUAUUCCCGUGUUUAUUUUCAAGUUCAGUGUUGCAGUUAUAAUAAGGUGCUUAAUUCGGUUGUAAUCCGGAAGAAUAUACACGUGUUUAUUUUAAUAAUUCAGUGUAAAAGUACCACAGUGGUGUGCAGAGUUCAUGUCAAUUGCGUGCAUAGUGUGUUUAAGAGAGUUCAUCGAGUCAAGAUCGGGAGUUCUGGGAAAUUUCGUGGAUGCACCACCAGUUCGAGGAGGGAGGAGUUCAUCGGGAUCCAUUCAGCGUCAUCGUGGGAUGCGUCAUGGAUGCUGUUAUCAUCUCGUUGGGGAGUGAGGAUUAGAGUUUGGUAUUCUUUCUGCACUUGAAACCUCAAUUUCUUUGGAUUUAACCAGGACAACAGAGGGCUUUUUGAGCUCGGACACUGAACAGACAGCUAGAGGAAUGUAUGGAGCAAUACGCCGGAUUUGAGAAAAAUGCGGCAUGUUGGGCUGAUGCAGUGAAGAUCACCAUGGUGACAAACUUGACAAGCUCUGUCACAGUCUGAAAAGAUGAUGGUAUUCCUGGGAAGAAGAAAGAAAGGCUGUUUCUGUGUGGAACUCAGUUUAGGAUGUUUAUACAUGCACAAACACACACACACACACACACACGCACGUACACGCGCACACACACACACACACACAACUGAAAUGGAGAGUUGAGCCAUAAACUAUAAACUACUUUUGUCUGUU